rnacentral:rRNA from 1 species
UACGGAGGGAGCUAGCGUUGUUCGGAAUUACUGGGCGUAAAGCGCACGUAGGCGGCUUUGUAAGUUAGAGGUGAAAGCCCGGGGCUCAACUCCGGAACUGCCUUUAAGACUGCAUCGCUUGAAUCCAGGAGAGGUGAGUGGAAUUCCGAGUGUAGAGGUGAAAUUCGUAGAUAUUCGGAAGAACACCAGUGGCGAAGGGCGGCUCA